rnacentral:misc_RNA from 1 species
GAUGAAUAACGCAGCGAAAUGCGAUAAGUAAUGUGAAUUGCAGAAUUCAGUGAAUCAUCGAAUCUUUGAACGCACCUUGCGCUCUUUGGUAUUCCGAAGAGCAUGCCUGUUUGAGUGUCAUGAAAAUAUCAACCUUGACUUGGGUUUUGUGCUCUAGUCUCGGCUUGGAAUUGGGUGCUUGCCGCUUUUACGAGCGGCUCACCUUAAAUGUAUUAGCUGGAUCUGUCUUUGAGACUUGGUUUGACUUGGCGUAAUAAGUAUUUCGCUAAGGACAUUCUUCGGAGUGGCCUCGUUUCUAGGACGCUUGUCCGCUUUCCAAUACAAGUUCCACCUCGUGGACAUGACUUUUUAUUAUCUGGCCUCAAAUCAGGUAGGACUACCCGCUGAACUUAAGCAUAUCAAUAAGCGGAGGA